rnacentral:lncRNA from 1 species
AAAAUGUCACGAUAGGUGAAAUUGUAAUGAAAUUUUUUAAAAUUUAUUUUGUUUACAUGAUUAUAAGUAUUUUCAUAUGAAUAUUAUGUAUGUUUGUAAAUAUCUAGAGUAAUUUUCCUAGACAGUUACUGUCACGACCCAAAUCGGGCCGCGACUGGCACCCACAUUUACCCUCCUAUGUGAGCGGACCAACCAAUCUAAACCCCAACAUUUCAAACAUAAUAAAUAGAAAAACAAUGCGGAAGACUUAAAACUCAUCAACAAAAUCAAUAAUCAACUUCUAAAACUCAAACUUAUCAUUAUUCCCAAAAUCUGGAAGUCAUCAUCACAAGAACAUCUAUCCUCAAAUAAGCUAAGAGUAUCUAAGAAUCUAGAAUAAGUAAAAAGCUAGUCCAUGCCGGAAGUUCAAGGCAUCAAGACAUGAAGAGGAAGAUCCAGUCCAAGCUAGAAGCAUUAGCUCACCCUGAAAUCUGGUGUAAUGAAGACUGGCUAGAGUUGCGGUUGAGUUGAAGAUGACGGCACGUUUGCUGCACUCCACAAAUAACAAAGAAAAACAAUUACAAGUAGGGGUCAGUACAACCACAAGUACUGAGUAGAUAUCAUCGGCCAACUCAAAAUAGAAAACAGUAUAUAUCAGAUAAUAUCAUAAAAUCAACUACAAUACUCAACAGGCGGCAUUUACAAUUACCAUAACCCUUGGUCACAACACCAAACUCAUCAAUGAGGACUCACGCCUCCCCAUCAUACUCAUUUGGGAAAUAGGUUCAUUAAAUUGAGUAUAUUGACAUCUUUCAAGAUUCAUUAUCUUUAUUUCUCUUGUGUCGGUGCGUGACACUCCGCUCCCCUACUACUAUGUGUCAGAACGUGGUAUUCCGAUCCCCUAAUUCUACGUGUCGGUUCGUGACACCCGAUCCCCUAAUUUUACGUGUCGGUUCGUGACACCCGAUCCCCUAAUACUACGUGUCGGUUCGUGACACCCGAUCCCCUAAUACUAUAUGUCGGUUCGUGAUACCCGAUCCCCUAAUACUACGUGUCAGUUCGUGACACCCGAUCCCCUAAUACUACGUGUCGGUUCGUGACACCCGCUCCACUAAUCUCAUUCUAUUAAUUCAUCCAGCCUUCUUUUAUACCAAGGCAUCAUCAAUCUCAUUACUUUAGUUCAUCAAGCGUUCUCUUAUACCAAGACAUCAUCAUUAACAAAGUAGAUUAGGGUUUCUUUUUCAAGAUUUAGGAUUCAAUAGCUUCAUCAUGCUUAUUUUAUCACAAUUAUAUAAUCACAUUCAUGCAUGCAUACAAUUAAGCAUAUAGAAGGGUUUACAACACUACUCAAUACAUAUCAUUCGCUAUUAAGAGUUUACUACGAAUAGUAUAAAAACCAUAACCUACCUCCACCGAAGAUUCGUGAUCAAGCAAGCAAUUUCCCAAAGCUUUGUUUCCUCUUCGUUUUCCCUCUUCUCUCGAUCGUUCUCUUUCCCUCUCCUUGUUCUUUCUAUUUUUCUUAUUCAAACCCUCUUUCUUUUACCCUAAUUAACAUAUAAUUAAGUAUAAAAGAUGACAAAAUAACCCACUAAUUAAUUUAUGGUUAUCUCCUUUAACCCUCAAGAAAUUGGAUUAUUUAUAUUCAACCACCAACUUUAUAAUUAUAAGCAAGAAUAGUCCAAAACGCCCCUUAAAACAUUUAACAGAAAUCCGACCCAGCCUGGGAUUACGCAGUCUGUGACGGUCCGUCCUGCACGUCCGUCACAGAGUUCAGAGACUAGAUUUUUACCAAGGGUCUGUGACGGCCCAUCACGCCUGUGACGGUCCGUCCUGCCAUUCCGUCACGAAGUUCAGAGAGUCGAUUUCAGUACCCAAAUUUCAGAAUUCUAAGUGUUUUGGAACGAGACCCCCUCGACGGUCCGUCGUGGGAUCCGUCGUCUCAGUCAGUUUUUCCAGAAAUAAAAUCUGUUACUCAAAACGACUAAACAGGUCGUUACAAUAGAUACCAAUUUACCCAUCGUUCGUCCCCGAACGAUCACAAGAAGAAAAACAAGGGCGAAAAGGAGUACCUGAAUCUGUAAACAGGUAUGGGUAUCUUUCUCGCAUAUCAACUUCCUUCUCCCAAGUGGAUUCUUCAACUGGUCGAUUCUUCCAUUGAACUUUGAUAGAUGCAAUCUCCCUUGACCUCAAUUUGCGGACUUCUCUAUCUAAAAUGGCAACAGGCUCCUCCUCAUAAGACAAAUUCUCAUCAAGAAGAACCGAAUCCCAACGAAUGAUGUAGUUUCCAUCCCCAUGGUAUCUUUUCAACAUAGACACAUGAAAUACCGGAUGCACUCCUGACAGUCCUGGAGGCAAGGCUAAUUCAUAAGCCACCUCCCCUACUCGCUUAAGUACUUCAAAUGGUCCAAUAUACCUUGGGCUUAGCUUACCUCUUUUUCCAAACCGCAUCACCCCUUUCAUGGGCGAAACCUUCAGCAAGACUUGCUCACCCUCCAUGAACUCCAAGUCUCUAACCUUUCGAUCUGCAUAUUCCUUUUGCCUGCUUUGAGCCGCUAAAAGCUUUUCUUGAAUAGAUUUCACCUUCUCUAAUGAAUCCCUCAAAAGAUCAGUACCCCAAGGUCUAACCUCAAAUGCAUCAAACCAACCAAUGGGAGACCUACAUCUCUUCCCAUACAAUGCUUCGAAUGGAGCCAUAUCAAUACUUGAGUGGUAGCUAUUGUUGUAUGAGAACUCUGCUAAGGGUAAGAAGUUAUCCCAAUGACCUCCAAAUUCUAUCACACAUGCACGAAGCAUAUCCUCCAACACUUGAAUUGUUCGCUCAGACUGACCAUCGGUCUGAGGGUGAAAUGCAGUACUAAGGUCCAACCUAGUACCUAAUUCAGCAUGCAAUGUUCUCCAAAACUUAGAAGUAAAUUGCGUACCUCUAUCUGAUAUGAUGGAAAGUGGAACUCCAUGCAAUUGAACAAUUUCUGAGAUGUAGAGCCUGACUAACUUUUCUGCAUUGUAGGUCACCUUGACCGGGAUGAAGUGAGCAGACUUAGUUAAUCUGUCCACAAUUACCCAAAUAGAGUCAAACUUCCCCAAUGUCUUUGGAAGACCAACCACGAAGUCCAUUGCAAUUCUCUCCCACUUCCAUUCAGGAAUGGGCAUUCUCUGAAGUGUUCCUCCGGGCCUCUGGUGUUCAUACUUGUUGACAAUUUGGACAUUUGGCAACAAACUCAACAAUGUCGCGCUUCAUUCUACUCCACCAAAAGUGUUGCUUUAGGUCACGGUACAUCUUGAUUGCACCAGGAUGUAUAGAAUAUCCGGAGCUAUGAGCCUCUGUAAGAAUAGUGUGGAUCAAAUCAUCAACACGGGGCACACAUACCCUUCCCUUAAUUCUCAAAACACCUUCCUCAUCCAUUAUCGCUUCUUUAGCCUAUCCUCGCAACACCAUAUCCCAAAUUCGUCUUAGUUUCUCAUCAUCAAACCGUUUUCCCUUGAUCUUGUCAAGAAAAGAAGAUCUCGCCUCCACACUGGCCAAAAAUCCUCCCUUCUCAUUUACUUCUAACCUCAUAAAGUCGUUAGCCAGAGUCUGAACCUCUCUAGCCAACGGACGUCUAGAAACUUGCAAGUGAGCUAGACUUCCCAUGCUCCCUGCCUUCCUACUUAAGGCGUCUGCCACAACAUUAGCCUUUCCCGGAUGAUACAAGAUAGUGAUAUCGUAGUCCUUCAGUAGUUCCAUCCAUCUCCUCUGUCUCAAAUUCAAAUCUUUUUGAGUAAAGACAUACUGUAGGCUACGAUGAUCCGUGUAUACUUCACACUUAACUCCAUAUAGAUAGUGUCUCCAUUGCUUUAAGGCAAACACUGCCGCAGCCAAUUCCAAAUCAUGGGUCGGAUAAUUACGUUCAUGCACCUUUAAUUGCCUUGAAGCAUAAGCAAUUACGUUCUUCUCUUGCAUUAGCACUGCACCCAAAUCCGAAUAGGAUGCAUCACAAUAGACAAUGAAAUUCUUACCUUCCACUGGCAGGGUAAGGAUUGGUGCAGUAGUCAACAAGGUCUUGAGUUUCUGAAAGCUUUCCUCACAUUCGUCCGACCAUACAAACGGAACAUUCUGCUUAGUCAAGUUCAUCAAUUGGGAAGCAAUGGAAGAGAAUCCCUUGAAAAAUCGACGGUAAUAGCUAGCUAAACCAACAAAGCUCCUUAUUUCUGACACAUUAGUAGGUCUUACCCAAUUCUUCACUAUCUCAAUCUUAGAAGGAUCCACCAUCACCCCAUCCUUAGAAACCACAUGCCCCAAGAAGGACACUGUAUCUAGCAAAAACUCACACUUGGAGAAUUUGACAUAAAGCUUUUUCUCCCUCAACAUUUCCAAUACAAUUCUCAAGUGCUCCUCAUGUUCCUUCUUGCUCUUUGAGUAUACCAAUAUAUCAUCAAUAAAUACGAUCACAAAGAGAUCCAGAUAUGGCUUAAAAAUCUCGUUCGUCACGCUCAUGAAAGCAGCAGGGACAUCGUAAGACCAAAAGACAUCACUACAAAUUCGUAAUGCCCAUACCUGGUCCGAAAAGCAGUCUUUGGCACAUCCGUUGCCCGUAUUUUCAAUUGAUGAUAAUCGGAUCUCAAGUCAAUCUUAGAGAAGACACAAGCACCUUGUAACUGAUCGAACAAGUCAUCAAUGCGAGGAAUGGGAUACUUGUUCUUAAUAGUUACCUUGUUCAACUGCCGGUAGUCUAUGCACAUCCGAAAACUCCCAUCCUUCUUCUUCACAAAUAACACCGGAGCACCCCAAGGAUAUGCACUUGGUCUAAUGAAUCCUUUGCUUAGCAACUCUUGAAGUUGGGUUUUUAACUCUCUUAACUCAGCGGGAGCCAUCCUAUAAGGGGGUAUAGAAAUGGGGCGAGUACCCGGUUCAAGAUCAAUACAGAAGUCAAUAUCUCUAUCCGAUGGCAUACCAGGAAGGUCUGCAGGAAACAUAUCUAAAAACUCACGGACUAUCGAAACCGACUCAAUUGGAGGUACUUGGGUAGUAUCAUCCCUGAGAUGUGCCAAGAACGCUUAACAACCCUUACUAACUAUUUUCUUAGCAAGAAGAAAGGAGACGAUACGAACCAGAUUGGAAGUGUAGUCCCUCUCCCACACUAACGGAUCUGUCCCAGGCUUGGCUAACGUCACAGUUUUAGCAUUACAAUCCAAGAUUGCAAAAUUUGGAGAAAGCCAAGUCAUACCCAGAAUUACAUCGAAGUCAACCAUUUCUAAGAUAACCAAGUCUACAUGAGUAUUGCUCCCCACAAACGUUACAAGACAAGACCUAUACACCUUUUCAACUAUCACAGACUCACCCACCGGAGUAGAAACACGAAUAGGCAUGUCAAACAAUUCACAAUGUAAAUUAAGACCAGUAGCAAAUGAAGACGAUACAUAUGAAAAUGUGGAGCCAGGGUCAAAUAAUACAGAAUCCAUACAAUCACAAACCAAAAGAUUACCUGUGAUAACAACAUCUGAUGUCUCCGCUUCCGAUCGCCCAGGGAAAGCGUAACAAUGGGCCCUAUCACCUGUUUGCCCGUUGCCCCUAUCAUGUUGCGUUGCAGUAGUUCUAGUUUGCCCGUCACCCCGGCCGUUUUGGUGAUCACCCUUACCUCGGCCACCACGUCCUCCAGAAUAACGGCCUCUACCAUGACUACCUCUACCUCUAGCUAUUGGGGGUCUAUAACUCUGUUUUAGACAAUUCCUCCUAAUAUGUUCAGUCUCCCCACAUCCAUAACACUCUCUGGAGUCAAGCAUAGGUCUCUCAGAGAAGUGUUGACCGGUCUGAGGUGGACCCCAAACUAUAGUCUGUAGUGAAGACUGAAUUGGUCGGACUGAGUAACCUCCUGAACCCUGUCCUCUAGAGUAAGAACCAUUAAACUCACCUCCCUUUCAAAACCUUUUUGAUGUCGAUGCCAUGGUGAAGUCAUCUGGCUUCACUCCUUCCACCUCUAUCGCGAAGUCUACCACUUCUUGAAAGGAUUUUGCCGUAGCCGCUACCUGUAAGGCUGAAAUUCGCAAUUCUGACCUCAACCCCUUCACAAAACGGCGAAUCCGCUCUUGUGGACUGAAACAAAGUUGGGUGGCAUACCUGGAUGAUGCACGAAACUUAGCCUCAUAUGCAGUAACCGACAUCCUACCUUGCUCUAGGCUCAAGAACUCAUCUCUUUUCCUAUCCCUCAAGGUUCGGGGGAUAUACUUCUCCAUAAACAAGCUAGAGAAUGAUGCCCAAGUCAUAGGUGGUGCCUCUGUUGGUUGACACUCAACAUGUGACCGCCACCACAUUUUGGCGUUCCCUUGAAACUGAUUAGUCACAAACUCAACACCAAACCGUUCUACUAUACCCAUCUUGUGUAGUAGCUCAUGACAGUCAACCAGAAAAUCAUAGGCAUCCUCAGAUUCAACACCCUUGAAGAUUGGAGGUUUCAAUUUCAAGAACUUACUGAAAAGUUCAUGCUGAUCAUUUGUCAUUAUAGGCCCUGUAGUCAGACGAGGAAACGUGCCUAUUUCCAAUGAGGCAUCCAUGCGGGGAGCCACAGUAGCUGCAUGUUGUACCUUCGGAACCUGAGGUGCUGGUGCAGAAAACACUGGAGGUGUUUGACCUUGAUCAGAUAACCCACUAAGAUAAACAAGAACCUGAUUUAUCAUCUCUGGGGUAGGUUGGGGUGGUAGUUCUUCAUUCUACACUUGCUCAGUUUCCCCUUCCUCACCAUGUCUUACUACUUCCUCAGUCGGUGGAGGAGUCACCGCCCUAGUACUAGAUGGGACGGACGUUUGUCCUCUUUCCCUAAAGGACGUCCUCCCACGACCUCUACCACGGCCUCUUGCCACUGCUCUUCCUCGAGCUACAGCCCCAGUGGCUGGCUCAGACGCUUCUUGUCUUGCCGGUGUUGGUGUUGGCGCAGUCGUUGCUCUAGUUCUAACCAUCUGCGAAAUAGAGUGAAGAUGGUCAGAUACCAAUUUGUAUCACCUAGAUACCAAUUGGAUCCAAGUAAUAGCACGAAAGAAAGAAAAAGAGAAUGGAAUUUUCCUAAAGUCUUAUAGCCUCUCAAAGAAAAGUAAAGGCGUCCCCCUACCGUUCCUUAAGACUCUACUAGACUCGUUCUUGUGUGAUGAGACCAACAAACCUAAUGCUCUGAUACCAAGUUUGUCACGACCCAAAUCGGGCCGCGAUUGGCACCCACAUUUAUCCUCUUAUGUGAGCGGACCAACCAAUCUAAACCCCAACAUUUCAAACAUAAUAAAUAGAAAAACAAUGCGGAAGACUUAAAACUCAUUAACAAAAUCAAUAAUCAACUUCUAAAACUCAAACUUAUCAUUAUUCUCAAAAUCUGGAAGUCAUCAUCACAAGAACAUCUAUCCUCAAAUUACUAAAGCUAAGAGUAUCUAAGAAGCUAGAAUAAGUAAAAAGCUAGUCAAUGCCGAAAGUUCAAGGCAUCAAGACAUGAAGAGGAAGAUCCAGUCCAAGCUAGAAGCAUUAGCUCACCCUGAAAUCCGGUGUAAUGAAGACUGGCUAGAGUUGCGGUUGAGUUGAAGAUGACGGCACGUUUGCUGCACUCCACAAAUAACAAAGAAAAACAAUUACAAGUAGGGGUCAGUACAACCACAAGUACUGAGUAGAUAUCAUCGGCCAACUCAAAAUAGAAAACAGUAUAUAUCAGAUAAUAUCAUAAAAUCAACUACAAUACUCAACAGGCGGCAUUUACAAUUACCAUAACCCUUGGUCACAACACCAAGCUCAUCAAUGAGGACUCACGCCUCCCCAUCAUACUCAUUUGGGAAAUAGGUUCAUUAAAUUGAGUAUAUUGACAUCUUUCAAGAUUCAUUAUCUUUAUUUCUCUUGUGUCGGUGCGUGACACUCCGCUCCCCUACUACUAUGUGUCAGAACGUGGCACUCCGAUCCCCUAAUUCUACGUGUCGGUUCGUGACACCCGAUCCCCUAAUACUACGUGUCGGUUCGUGACACCCGCUCCACUAAUCUCAUUCUAUUAAUUCAUCCAGCCUUCUUUUAUACCAAGGCAUCAUCAAUCUACCUCCACUAAUUCUCAUAAAAUUAGAGACCUCACGAGGUCUUAACUGGAGAACAAGUUUGGGAGAGGGUUCAAAGCUUUCCAAUUCCACUUUUCUUUCUACCCCUAAGAAAAAAGUUAACACUAGAACUAACUUAUUUUCAAAGAACUAGUUUGUUCAAAAAAUUUACCUGGAGUCAAAGGGUUGGGAACGUCGACCACUGUUGCUGCUGCACGACUCGGCGGAGAUGGAGGCGGCGCGACCUCCACCUGCUGAGGCCCGACUGCAAAUGGCGCGCAGAGAUGGAGCUGGCGGCGAAGAGAGGAGAUGGAGAAUGGAGAAGACGACGGAGGAGAUGGAGAAUGGAGAAGACGACGGCGGAGAUGAAGAUGAAGAAGAUGACGGCGGAGAGAGGAGAUGGAGAAUGCUGGUAGAGAGGAAUGAUGAGAGAGAGAGGGACGAUGACAGAGAGAGAGGGACGAUGAGAAAGAGAAAGGGAAGAAGGAGAUAGCUAUUUUUGGCUAGGGUUUUUUUUUUGUUUAAGAGAUCUCAUGAGAUCUCUCAUUUUUUAACUCUUUCAUUAAAUUAAAUUAUUAUUUUUAAUUUAGCAAGUACAGACCUCGUGAGGUCUCUAAUUUUAUGAGAAUUAGAUUAAAAAUUUAAAAAUUUGAAAUAAGUCAGGUAUAGGAAAAAAUAAAUUCAUUAAAUUGACCUCACGAGGUCUCUCCUAUAUUAAAAAAAAAUUAAAAGAUAUUAAUUCAAAUAGCGACCUCAUGAGGUCUCUUAUUAUAGACCUAUUUUUGAGGUCUCCUUUUCUAGGUCUCUUUUUGGCCUUUUUUUAGUAGUGAAAGAAACGUUACUUAUUUAAAAGUCUAGCAGUUUUUUGACACUAUCAAAUUUGAAUUGAAAUUUGCAAUGUAUGAAUGUAUCAACUUUCCAAUCAAGUUGUAAUGUGUCUGAAUUAGCUAGUUUUAUUAGUUAUAAAUAUUGCUUCUUUUGCUAUAAAGAGGAGUAUUGGUAGAGAUAAUAAUGAGAAAGUGAUAUUAUAUAGAAUUGGGUAAAAUAAAAUAAUGUGAUUGCCCCUUUUAAGAUAGACUUGAAUUUUUUGACACUAUUCAAAUUCGCAGUCCAAAAAAGGUCGACAAAAUUGCAUCUGAACUAUCUUAUAUUCUUUGUUAUACUUUUGAAUUAAAAAGACUCUUCAUUAUUAUUUUAAAAGAUCAUAAAUAUCAUCAAGAUUUAAUAAGAAUGAUUUAGCAAAUAACACGACACUAAUUUCGCCAUCUAUUGACUAGAUACCCACUAAAAUAAGGGUCUUUAAUUUGACCAAAUUUAUGACCCAACCCUAACCCGUUCAUACUAGACCCGACGCACAAAGAUUAAGAGGCAAAUAUCAUCUUUUUAUCAUAUUUUCACCAUUCGAUUUAAUGGAUUCUCAAUUUAGAAUGACUCUAUUUAUUCUUCUCACAAACACAUAUUGCUUAGAGGUGUCAAGUGAACGGGUUGAGUUGGAAUUGAUAAUGUUAAAAUGGGCUGAAGUAGAAAUUAGGUUGGGUCCUAACUUAGCCAAGUUUUCUUUCACUCAAAUGGACUUUAAAAUGGGCUAGGUCUUGACCCGCUCAAUUUGACAUGUUUAAUUUCAAUAAAUUUAAUAUAUAGUUAUUUAAGUUUUAAAUUUCAACUCAAGAUUUUCUUUAAAAAAAAAGAAGAAGUUACAAAUGAUAGAUAAAUCCUAGGAGAUAUAAAAUAGAUAGCAAUUUAUAUCUUCAAUAUUAGCACAUACAUUAAAAAAUCUUAAAACGAGUUAAAAUUUAAAAUUAAAUUAGGUUUAAUUGAACAUUCUCUUAAAAUUAGUUAAGUCUUGAAUGAGUUAAACUUAUACCAAAUUCAAAUUAUCUUGAAUUUAAUUUUUAAAAUUCUAAACGUAUUUGACAGAUUACUCGUAAUUGGUCUCAUUUUUGACAUCCCAACAAAACAAAUACUACUACAGAGCGAUAUCAAUGUCACGACCCAAAACGAGUCGUGAGUGACAACCAACACAUCUAAAACCCCAACAUAUACCAAUAGUUCAACUAUAAAUAAUAUCAAUAAUGCGGAAGCUCCAAAAGAUACUAAGCAACCAAUUUAAAUAAGUUUCUAAGGUUUAAUACUUAUCAUCCCAAAAUCUGAUAGUCAUCACAUCAAGGACAUCUAAUCUCCAAUACUAAGCCUAAGAAUAUCGAAUACACUAAAAUAAAGAAUAAAAUGGUAUGUGUCCGAAAGCAUAGGACAUCAUGUUAUGACCGAGAGAAUCCAACACGAGCUAGAAAUAAUAGCUCACCCUGAACUCUGAUGUGCUGGAGACUGGCUAGAGCUGAGGGCGAGUCGAAGUCGAUGGUACACUUGCUGCACUCCACAAAAUAACAAAGAAGAAAAUACAAGUAGAGGUCAGUACAAUGAACACGUACUGAGUAGGUAUCAUCGGCCAACUCAAAAUAGAAAUCAAUAUAUAUUGAAUAAUAAUAUAAAAUCAACUACAAUACUUAACAGGUGGCAAGCAACAAACACAUGAACCAUUGACAACAACACCAUAACAGGUACACCAUCAAUCAGCAAAUCAAACACACCUAUGAGGACUCAUGCCUCCACACCAUACUCAUUUGAAAGAUAGGUUCUUUGAGGUUGAGUAUAUUAAGUCACUUCAAGAUUCCCUUCCUUUAAUGUUAUUAUGUCGGAACGUGACACUCCGAUCCCAUAUACCGUGUCGAAACGUGACACUCCGAUCCCUUAAUAUCGUGUCGGAACGUGACACUCCGAUCCAAUUAUCUUAUAAUUUUAUUUCAUCAAGCCUUCUUUAUUCAAGGCGUACUUUUAAUAGAGAGGGUUCAAGAUUAGAAAUUCAACAGUCUCAUAAUUUUAGGCCAACCACAAACCACACAAUCAAAACAUACAGCCACACAAUCAAGUAAAUAGGAGACUUUACAAUAUCACUCAAUACAUAUCAAUCGCUAUUUAGAGUUUAUCUAUCAAAUAAAAUUAAACCAUAACCUACCUCCACCGAAGAACCGAAGUCAAGCAACUACUUCUCCAAUGCCUUUCCUUUUCUUAUUGCCUCCGAACCCUUCCAAUCUAUCAAGUAUAUAAUAUACAUAAGGUGUAAGUUAACAAGACCAUAAACACUCCGAUUAUUCUGUGUCUAGCCUAUACUCAUCAAUUCACCUAAUUCUAUAAUCAAUUUCCUAAAUUUUAAACUUAAGGUAAGUUCUAUUUCCUCUCAUUAGCAUAACUUUAAUGUAAUUCAUAUAAUAUACUACACCUUAUAUUUAAUUACCUAUCUCAAUAUAUCAAAAUAUAAUCUAUAAUAUAAUAACAACAUUAAAAUUUUUAAAAGUUAAAGCCACUGGUUAAGGUACCAGUGGCAGCGAACACUUCACAAUAUACCCACCCCUUUAUAUUCCAAUUCUUAAAAAUGAAAUUCAGUUAUUUUCUUGCAGCUUCAUCGAUCCAGCUUCUAACACAAGGCGAACCUACCUUGGAUUAUUUUCCAUUAACUUCACGUGAGAACAGGGAGGAAAUAUGUACCUACGAAUUCGCAUGAAAAUUGUAUCAAUUUUUUCUUUGUUCUAAAAUUUAAAUUGGCAGAACAUUUAAACCUUUACAUUGUCAUACCUUACACCUUCUUUUAAUUAAUCAUCACAAUAUAACAAUUUUUCCAAUCCCAACAUGCUGCUCCCUCUUCUCUAUUUUAUUAUUUUAUUUUACAAAACAAACAUUUCCAUCCAAUUUUAUAAUAUUAAUCAAAAGAGACCAAUAAUUAAUCUACAGAAAUCUAACUCCUUAGAUUCAAAACAGAACUCCCGUUCUUCCCUUUCUAAUUAACAAUAUAUUAGGCUGCUAGUAAUAUUACUCUCUAUUAGAAAUCACCAUUACAUGUAACAAAAGAAUAAAAAUUUCAAGAACCUUAAUUCAUAACACACUAAAGUCAAUUUUCUUUUAUGUAACAUGUAACUGCUGCUAAAAUGUUGCAGGCAGCAACAUCAUACAGCCGCCACGUAGUCACAAUUUGCCCAUAUCCCCCUUUUCCCAUUUAAUUAGUAUAAUAUUCUAUCAUGGCUAAAAUAUCAACAUAUAUCCCUAUCAUCAAUACAUAUGUAUAGCGCAAUAUUAAGCUGGUCGAGUUUUACCUGAAGGCCCACUUUACGAUCUUCUUCGCAAUCCUUCUGCCCCUCUCUGAUUUUCUUACUUUCCUCCAGAGAUAAAUUAUACCUAAUUUCUAUAUAGGACUAAUUAUAUAAAUAAUGAAAAGUGUCCAUCACUAAUUGUUAAGUUAUUUUCUUUAACUAUCAAUUAAAUAAAUUAUUAAAAUUAUCCCACUAAUUUCAUAAUUAUAAUUAUGAAUAGUCCAAAAUACCAAUUUAAAAUUUAGCGAAAAGUAUUUAUCAAAAAUAAUUCUACUACUCAAAUCAAAUCGACUAAAUGAGUUGUUACAAUCAAUAAGUUUUAUUAUGUCUUUUUCAAAGGAAACAAACUCCUAAAUCAAGUGCAAAAGCCAAGUUGGUGGGGUCUACUGAAUUGAAUGCUGAAAUCAGAUGAAAAGAUGAUGUUUGCCCCUUAAUUUUAAGAGCAACUUUCACAUAUAUAGCAAAUAAAAAAUUUAUAUUUGUAUGCUAUAGUUUUUUGCAUAAUUGCGCUCUAUAGCAAACAUAGAAAUUGUAUAAUUCGCUAUACAUAUACAGUUGAAGCAAAUUAUAUAAAACAAAGUGUAUAAAACAUGAAAGAGAAAGACACUUGGGUAGAAAACUGUAUAAAAUGAAGUGUAUAAAACAAAUUGUAUUAUUAUAUGUGUAUAGAAUGAUUAUAUACAAUUUGAAUUUAUAUAAAAUGAGAAAGCGAGAAAGACAAAAGAGACUUGACAAGGAAUAUACAAUUAAUCGAACUGUAUAAAACGAGAAAGAGAGAAAUUAGAUACAAUUUGAAAAUUGUAUAAAACGAGAAAGAGAUAAAGACAAAAGAAACUAGGCAGGGAAGUAUUUUUAUUGUACUAUUAUAAGUGUCUAGGACGAGAAUAUAUGUACUAGCAUGUGUAUGUACAAUUUUCUCACGCUUUAUACAAAGAGAAACACAAUGUAAACAUUUCGCUUCUGUUUGUAUAAGUGAGAAAGACGAUGGUGGUGAGUGAGAUUUAGGAGAGUGGCGAGUGAGAUCUGAAAGAGGGGAGAGAGGGAACAAAAAUAUGUGUAUUUAUACAAUUUUCUCUGCUUUAUACAAUUAGAAACAAUUUUUAUACACUUGUGUUUGUAUAAAAAGUGAGGAAGCGAGCGAGAGAUUUGAAGGAGAGUGGCGAGCGAGAUAUUUGGGAGAGAGGCGUCUGUCAAUAUUUUGCAAUCGUUUGCUAUGGAGCACAAUUAAAUUAAACACUAGCUACUCCAUUUAUUUUAGAUUAUUAAUUUGCUAUUAUAUAUAAUUUUCCCAAAUUUUAUUGGGUCUGGUCUAAUAAGAAUAGGUUAGAGUUUGAAUUAUAAAUUGGGUCAAAUUAAUGAUUUAUAUUUUAGUGGAUAUCCUAAUUGGCAAGUUUAGGUGACGAAAAGUGUUACGUGAUUUGUCAUAUCACUGUUGUUAAUUCUCGAAAGUAUUUGUAGUCUUUUAGUAUAACAAUUGUGGUAUUUCUUAUUUUUUAAUGUAUUAGAGGAUAUAAAUGGCCUAUUUUGCACAGGAGUGGUUUAAGUGUAUUAGUGGCCUAAAAUCAAAAUCAAAUGGGGCCUUAAACUUAAAUAGUUAAUAACUUUUAUAUAAUUUAUUUCUUCAAGUUUUCAUCUCAUAGUAUAACGAUUCUUAAUUUAAAUUAUUUUUCAUAAGAUAUUGUGCUCAAAAUAUGUCAAAUUUCUUCUAAUAAAAAAUCAUUUUUCAUGAAAUAUUUACUUUUUCUACAAAUAAUAUUCAAUAUUUAUUUAAAAAAAAUAACUUAUAGCCUAUUAUUAAUUUAUUAUAAAAAGUAAGGCCCCUUAAAUUUGGGGACCUAAGCACAUGUCUUUUUUUUUUAACACAGCCACCUGCUUACAAAUAAUUGGGAGCAAUUAUUUUUGAUUGGUUACAAUUAUGACUUCUUUGCUAUAAAUAGGGGUGUUGGUUGAGUAAUAUUGUAUAAUAAGUUGUGUGAAAUAAUAAAGGUGUGUUACUCUCUUGUUCUUUUGAAAAACAAGUCAAUUACAUAUAAUUUGGUUGGAGGAGAAAUAAUGGAGCUGUACAAGACCCUUAGGACUACUAUCAAAUAAUGAUGCUGAAUUUAUGAAGAUUAAGCUCGAGUAUGAGAAACAGAAUGAGCAUGUUACAUGUUGAAGGCCUUUCUUAAUGCACUCACCAAAGCCCAUUAUUCUCAUCUUUUAAAUAAAGAAAAUUCGUAGCCCUCAUACUAUUUCUAUAUAUAUAUAUAUAUAUAUAAAUACAAACUUCAUAUAUUGAUGGAUUUAAAAAUAAUUUAUUGGGUAAAUUAUUUUUAUCUUAUUUAAUAUGCGGUCAUUGUAAUAAUUAAGAAAUUAAAUAUUAUCUAAGUUGAUUGUUGCAUCCUUUAUAUUCCGAUGAUUAUCAAGAAUCAUAUUAGUUUUCAUAUAUUUAUCUUUUUAUCUCCUUUUCUAUGGUAAUUAUUUUCUCGUUACUGAAUAUUCUAAAGUCUUACAAAUGAUCAAACCAUUUUUAUUAUGCAAAAUUUAUUAUUGUGUGAUUAAUUAGUAGUAGGAUUUUCAAUUAACAAAAUUAAAAUAUAAUGAGUAAAUACACGUAGAAGUCAAAUGAAGCUCAACAUCUACUCUAUAUAUAAAAAUAAUUUUAUCCACACAUAAAUAAUAUAAUUUUAUACCGAAUAAAAAUUUAAAUGAACUCCCUCGAAUUUACAUGGCGCCAUUUGAUAAUACAAAAAAUUUAAAAAAUAAGAGAAGAUUUUAUUACCGAUCAAGUAGUCCUUAUUAAAGUUACUUUUGUGUUUACUUUUUAUUGACUUCUUCACAAUACCUACUAUAAAAAUAAAAUUGGAUUGAUAUCAUUAAAUAGAUGUCAAACACUCCUUCUAUUUUAUAUUAAUUGAAUUUAUGAGACAAUGCUUAUCCAUUAAGAAAAAUAUUCAAAGACAUUUUGAUAACUAAAGCCCAAGAAACACAAUCCCUCCUCGACAUUUUGCUCAAACUCCCACAUUUCCCUUACAUAUCAAUCACUGUACCAUGUAAUUGCUUGCCCAAUUCAACCCCACCAUAACCACAACAAAUCUUCAAGACCACCGGAAACAAGAAAAAUUCCAACUCCACAAACCGCACCUGCCUAAAACUUCUUCAAAAAGCUCAUUACUCAAAUAAACAUUAAUAAUAGCGUUCCACGAAUACAAAUUUCUGUCACGCAUUUUCUCAAACAGUUGAACUGCAUCAUCAAAACAAUCACAUUUCCUGUACAUCUCAAGCAACUUAGUCUCAACAAACUCGUAGUGCUUCUGCGUGGACUUGUUUACCUAGGUUGGGGCAUUUGCAGGAAUCAAGAACUGAAGCAUAGGUGCUUCAACUUAUAAAGUCAUCCAAUUGAGAGAAAUAUAGGUGGGUUAAAUGAUAAAUGGGUCGGGUUUAAUUUGGUUAAUCUAAUUAAAUAGGGUUAUUUUUGUUUGAUUUAGGAUUUUCCAUUCAAUUGAGGUCUAUGUGAAAAGUUUGUAGACGACAAGGAUAAAAAUAAUUUCAUUUUAACAGCAAUGGUAUAUUUAACUAAUAAAAUAAAGUCGAGAGAUAUUUUUAACUCUUUUCCCUAUCUUAAAUUUUGAAUAAUUCAGCUGAGAAACACAAAAAAAAUUCAAAUCUUGAUGCUUACAAGUGGCUCAGAUAUAUGAUAAGUAGCUCAAAUACAUUAAAUAAUGGCUCAGAUACAUUAGUAUGUAGCCCCAAUACAUUAAAAAUUAACCCAAAUACAUAAUAUGUAGCUCGUAUACAUUAAAUACUGGCUCGACAACAUUCAAUAUUUUUUUAAAAGCCCAUGAUAUGUUACGAACAAACCUUAAUAUUUCACAAACUUUAUUUUGAGGCUUCACAUCCAAUGUUUAUUAAAUUUUGAGAGAAGGUUACAAACCAAUUUUUCAUUAAUAAGAUAUGAAGGGAACAAAUUAGCAAGUUGAAGAAGAAAGCAAAAACAACACUAAUAUACAUUUCUUUUCUCUAGUAGCUUGUCACGUUGUUAUGCAUUUCCCCAUUCUCUACAGUUCUACUUAACCCUUUGAUAUCAUUGAUGAGACAGUCGAGGUUACUAUACGAUAAACCUCCUUCUUCAACACUUAAUUUUGCAAGUUCUGAUAAUUUCUCAACUGAUUUCGUGUACUCAUCCUUUUUUGUUUCCAUAAGAUCUUUUACCAGUUUCUCUACGACGAAUCUAUCACAAAUAUCUUUCAUGUCUAACCCUAUCUUCCAAAAUUCAUUUACUAGUCUACUUGUAACUCUUUGGUCCACAUAUUGAGGCCAACAUAUCAUGGGCUUUCCCUCGAUGAUACUUUCCAGUGUCGAGUUCCAUCCACUAUGGGUUAAAAACCCACCAACCGAUGGAUGGGCUAGUACCAUCUCCUGUGGAGCCCAACUCACAAUGUAACCAAUUCCUUUGCAACCCUCAACAAGUUCCUUCAUAAAUUGAUCAUGUGAUGCAUCUCCCUUCAACAUGUUAGGCCUCAUUACCCACAAAAAUUUAACUUUACUAUUCAUUAGUCCAUGCCAAAAUUCCAUGAUCUCAUCUCUUGAAACAACAACAAGGCUUCCAAAACUUACAUAGAUUACAGAUCCCUUGGAUUGCGCAUCGAGCCAUUUAAUGGAAGUAUGGUCUUCUUCCCACAUGCUAUUUGAGGAUGACAAUAGUGGAGUAGCUUUAGCAGCAAGUCUAGUCUUCAAGUUCAAUGGCAAUGGUCCAAUUGCAUAUGUUUUAGGAAAGUAAGAACGAAUAUUAUAAAGAAAAGGCCCAUCUAACUCUUCAAACGAAUUUAAUAUGAGUCCAUGGGCUUUUGGGAUACGCUCAAUUUCCUUAAAAACAGCUUGAGAAUUUUGAUCGAUUUUAUAAUCUAAAAGACAAAAGUGUGGAAGAUCUCGUCGUCUAAGAAAACCUUCCAUGGCUGGUACAUGUGUUACCAAUGCAUCGAUGUCAUUUCCUACAACGAUAAAUAUGAAGUUAAAUUUAUAGUUGUGGUGUUCCAAAUUUCUAUUCCACUCUAUUUUUUCAAAGUUUGAUAAGGUUGUGCACAAUUUUAAAGAAAAAAUUAAUUAAAAAAUAUAUUUUAAUUAAUUUUUAAAUUUUAAUCUACUAACAUCCUCUUAAUUCCAGAAUAAUUAUCGAUAAAAAUAAAAGUUCAGAAAAUAAUUAUUUUUCUCGACAUCUAAAAAGGAGCAUGGAGUAUUUCUGAUUUUUCCUUUCUAAAAAGGAGCAUGGAGUAUUUUGUCGAUAUCUAAAAUAAUGCCCCUACUUGGGCGCAUGCCAAACUGGGGAAGGUGGAAAGCUAAAUUAAUAAAGAAAUCAUCAUUAUUCCUCUGCUUAUUAUUUUGAAGAACGAACGUGAGUUAGUUCCGUUCAAUAAUAGUUGUUCACUAUUCACGUGGUAUAUCCUUAAAAAUAAAAAUAGAAGUGUAAAUUUUAUUAUAGUAUGUUUUAAAUAUAAUAAAUUAGUGUCUUGAAAAUGUAAAAGAGAAAUGACUAUAAUUAAUGAUAAGAAUAAAUUAUUAAAUAAGUGUAAAAUUAUUUAUGAAUUUCAUAAAGUGAACAAAUAUUGUUAGACAUUUUUUUUUAAUAGGUGGAAUGACCUGAUACACCCUCGUACUUGGCUUCGUUUGUAAGUUGGACCAUUGUAUUUCUGAUUUUGCCAAUUGAACCCUUAAACUCAUUCAAACACAAUAUUUCAAACCUCUUUCUUAUCAUUUGUGUGUCAGUGUAAUACACUCAAUUUACACAUGAAAUUCUACGUUAUUUUUUAAUGACCCAUCAGUAUCAUUAUUAUUUUUUAAUGACACAUCAGAAAUUAAAUAUUUAAAAAUAAAUAAUAUUUUUUAAAAAGGUGCAAUUUUUUCUCUUUCUAUACUCAUUUCCCAUAUUCUCACUUCAUCUUCUUCCUCCCCACCCUCUACCCUUCACCCCAAAGAAUAAAAAUCACCAUUUUCGUCUUCCUCACACAAAAUUUUUCUUAUUGACAAAAUGCGAAAGAUUAUAGUUAGCUCUUACACAUACUUUCAGUUCUAUUUUAUUUAUAUUUGAUAAAAAAAUAUAUCAAGAAAUCUUCAAAUUGAAAAAAAUAUAUGUUUAUAAGUAAAUUCAAGCAAUAGAUCUUGAAAAAUUAAGUUUUAAAAUGGUGAAUGAGAUGUAUUUUAACAAAAGUUUUUUAUUAUAAGUAUGUUAAUGGUGUAGAUAUCAAAAGAGAAGAAAAGAAAAUGGAUAAGGGCAGGGGGGGAUCUCGGGCUGAAAAAGAAGAGGAAAAAGGUGGGACUGUAAGAAGAGAGAAGGGAUUGUGGUGGCGAUAGAUUGAUUGGGUUGAAGAAGUAGUUUUUGAUUAUUUUUUGUAAAAGUGAUGCAGGGAAGAAGAUAGAUUCUUUUCUUCUUUUUUUUUAAAGUUUUUUUAUUAUAUGAAUUUAAUAAUUUAAAAUUUAAAAAAUGAUGCUCACUCGCCUUAAAUGCGUGUUGUCACACUCUCUUGCCAAGUCAGCUAUUAUAAUGUCACAUAAGCAUGGUCAAUAGUCAGAGGGAUUUAAUAUAUUGUGUUUUAUUUAGUUUAGUCUAUCAGACUAUUACACCUUUUUAAUAUAGUAGACAAAUAUUAUUAAACGAAGAAAGUAUAUUUUUUAAUUUUUUACGUUAUUAUUUCUUAAAAAUAAAAUAAGAAGAAUAAUGUUAUUUAUGUAUUAGUUAAGAAACACAUAUUUUAAACAAGUACAAGAUGUAAAUAGAAAGAGAGAAAAUACAAUCAAGGCAUUGUCAAUAAGGAGACAAAAUGAUUUAAAAAUACCUUUGAAGGGAAGAACUCCAGCCUCAAUUAGUUUGGGGAGAGAAAGAUAAAUCCAAAAGCAGGAAGGACUAAUAGUGUCAAAUAUAACAACUGGAACUCCCAUCUCAUUUCCAAUAUCCACACCAUAAUAAAACAGUCCAUCAAGUAUAACACAUGUGAUCGGCUCCUUAACAAGGCCACUAAGCAUUUGUUUAAGAUAAGGCUCAGCCAUGGUCUGCAAGGAGCUGAUAAUGUCUCCGAAUUGUUCGCCUGAUCGCGGGUUGUCCUCAGGGAGGCCAUCGGAUAUCGUAAGGAAUUGGAAUCCAGUAUAUUGUUUGAAACGAGAUUCGACAUUUGAGUUAGCAACGAGACGUUGUUGAUUGUGAUUUGUGUUGAGAAAACUGACUCUAAGCCCAGCAAGACAUAAGAGCUCAGCUAAUUGUAGAUUGGAGUUUAUUGUGCUUUGUAAAGGGAGAGGAAAGAUGAGAACAUGAGGAGUAAUGGAUGUCUCUGCCAUGCCUAUUGUGAGAGUAGGUGAAAUUAAUUUCCCUUUCCCACCUUCUUUCUCCUCAUUAUAUAUAUAUAUAUUUUGGUAAAUACUACUCUCUUGAUAGGGACUUAAAAGAAAUUUCAAUUAACUCACACAAUACUAUUUUCUUUUUAAAUAAAGAGGGUCAUAUAUAUAUUUCUUAAAUGAAGAGACCUUAUUUAAUUUUUUUGUGGAGCUCAUUCCAGCUUGUGUGAACAAAUAAAACAAUCUAUUAAUAUCGAGAUUUGAUCCAUAUUAGCAAUUUUUUAAAUUAGCAUUUUCGAGAAAUUAGAGCCAUAUAAAGUAGGGAAGUAUCUCAAAUCAGGGAGUCAAUUCCCUUAUUGAUAUUACCUUAAAAUAUUAUUAUAUAUGUUUUAUUUAGGACCAAAAUAUCACUCAAUUAUUAUUAUUUUUAUUCAAAAUAUACCUAACACUCUAAAAGUUUCACUCUCUCCUAGUUGACAUGAUAUGACAUUAAAUUCUUUUUUUUUAAAAAAAUUAGGUUAAUUUAUUUCAUUAAACUCAUUUAACUAAAAUAAUGUGUCACGACCCAAAUCGGGGCCGCGACUGGCACCCACACUUUCCCUCCUAUGUGAGCGAACCAACCAAUCUAAACCUUAACAUUUCAAUAUAAUAUCAACAGAAAGUAAUGCGGAAGACUUAAACUCAUUUAAUAAAACCAAUUCAUUAACUAUUAUUCCCCAAAAUCUGGAAGUCAUCAUCACAAGAACAUCUAUGAUCAAAGUACUAAACUAAGAGUAUUCUAAAAGCUAAAACAAGUAAAAGCUAGUCCAUGCCGGAACUUCAAGGCAUCAAGACAUGAAGAAGUAGAUCCAGUCCAAGCUAGAAACAUUAGCUCACCCUGAAGAUUCGAUGUAGUGAAGACUGGCUAGAGUUGCGAUUGAGUUGAAGACGAUGGCACGUUUGCUGCACUCCACAAAUAACAAAGAAGAAAACAUAAAAGUAGGGGGUCAGUACAAACACAAGUACUGAGUAGGUAUCAUCGGCCCACUCAAAAUAGAAAACAGUAUAUAUCAAAUAAUAUCAUAAAAUCAACUAAUAUCCUUAGCAUGCAGCAUUUACAAUUACCAUAACCCUUGGUUACAACACCAAGCUCAUCAAUGAGGACUCACACCUCCUCAUCAUACUCAUUUGGGAAUCAGGUUCAUUAGAUUGAAUAUAUUAACAUCUUUCAAGAUUCGUUAUCUUUAUUC